UACGGAGGGGGCGAGCGUUGUCCGAAGUUACUGGGCGUAAAGCGCGUGUAGGCGGGUCGCCAAGUCCGCUGUGAAAGCCCGAGGCUCAACCUCGGCGGGUCGGCGGAUACUGGCGGUCUUGAAGGUGCUAGGGGGAGAUGGAAUUACCGGUGUAGCGGUGAAAUGCGUAGAUAUCGGUAGGAACACCAGUGGCGAAGGCGGUCUCCUGGGGCAUUCUUGACGCUGAGACGCGAAAGCUGGGGGAGCGAACGGG
rnacentral:rRNA from 1 species